rnacentral:rRNA from 1 species
AUUGAACGCUGGCGGCAGGCUUAACACAUGCAAGUCGAGCGAGCGGCGGACGGGUGAGUAAUGUCUGGGAAACUGCCUGAUGGAGGGGGAAAACUACUGGAAACGGUCGCUAAUACCGCAUACCCUCGGAUGUGCCCAGAUGGGAGUGUCUGUUAGGUGGGGUAAAGGCUCACCUAGGCGACGAUCCCUAGCUGGUCUGAGAGGAUGAACAGACACACUGGAACUAGAACACGGCCCAGAAGCCUCCGGAGGGCGUAGGGGGGGAAGAUUGGACAAUGGGGGCAAGCCGGAUGCAGCCAUGCGGGUGGUAGGAAGAGGGCCUUCGGGUUGUAAAGUACUUUCAUCGGGGAGGCGUUACCCGCAGAAGAAGCACCGGCUAACUACGUGCCAGCAGCCGCGGUAAUUC